UACAGAGACUGCGAGCGUUAUUCGGAUUCACUGGGCGUAAAGGGUGCGCAGGCGGCCAUGCGAGUGAGGCGUGAAAGCCCGGGGCUUAACCCCGGAAUUGCACCUCAAACUACAUGGCUAGAGCAUUGGAGAGGGUAGCAGAAUUCACGGUGUAGCAGUGAAAUGCGUAGAUAUCGUGAGGAAUACCAGAGGCGAAGGCGGCUACCUGGACAAUUGCUGACGCUCAGGCACGAAAGCGUGGGGAGCAAAAGGG
rnacentral:rRNA from 1 species